GAUGAACGCUGGCGGCGUGCUUAACACAUGCAAGUCGAACGGAAAGGCUCCUGCUUGCAGGGGUACUCGAGUGGCGAACGGGUGAGUAACACGUGGGUGAUCUGCCCUGCACUUCGGGAUAAGCCUGGGAAACUGGGUCUAAUACCGGAUAGGACGAUGGUUUGGAUGCCAUUGUGGAAAGUUUUUUCGGUGUGGGAUGAGCUCGCGGCCUAUCAGCUUGUUGGUGGGGUAAUGGCCUACCAAGGCGUCGACGGGUAGCCGGCCUGAGAGGGUGUACGGCCACAUUGGGACUGAGAUACGGCCCAGACUCCUACGGGGGGCAGCAGGGGGGAAUAUUGCACAAUGGGCGCAAGCCUGAUGCAGCGACGCCGCGUGGGGGAUGACGGCCUUCGGGUUGUAAACUCCUUUCGCUAGGGACGAAGCGCAAGUGACGGUACCUGGAGAAGAAGCACCGGCUAACUACGUG
rnacentral:rRNA from 1 species